rnacentral:rRNA from 2 species
CGAAUCUGAGGGAGCUUGCUCCCAAAGAUUAGCGGCGGACGGGUGAGUAACACGUGGGUAACCUGCCUGUAAGAUUGGGAUAACUCCGGGAAACCGGAGCUAAUACCGGAUAACAUUUUGAACCGCAUGGUUCAAAAUUGAAAGAUGGUUUCGGCUAUCACUUACAGAUGGACCCGCGGCGCAUUAGCUAGUUGGUGAGGUAACGGCUCACCAAGGCAACGAUGCGUAGCCGACCUGAGAGGGUGAUCGGCCACACUGGGACUGAAACACGGCCCAGACUCCUACGGGAGGCAGCAGUAGGGAAUCUUCCGCAAUGGACGAAAGUCUGACGGAACAACGCCGCGUGAACGAUGAAGGCCUUCGGGUCGUAAAGUUCUGUUGUUAGGGAAGAACAAGUACCAGAGUAACUGCUGGUACCUUGACGGUACCUAACCAGAAAGCCACGGCUAACUACGUGCCAGCAGCCGCGGUAAUACGUAGGUGGCAAGCGUUGUCCGGAAUUAUUGGGCGUAAAGCGCGCGCAGGCGGUUUCUUAAGUCUGAUGUGAAAGCCCACGGCUCAACCGUGGAGGGUCAUUGGAAACUGGGGAACUUGAGUGCAGAAGAGGAGAGUGGAAUUCCACGUGUAGCGGUGAAAUGCGUAGAGAUGUGGAGGAACACCAGUGGCGAAGGCGACUCUCUGGUCUGUAACUGACGC